rnacentral:sRNA from 1 species
GCCAGGCCUGGUGGCGCAUACCUGUAAUCCCUGUGGCUCAGGAGGCUGAGGCAGGAGGAUUACAAGUUUGAGACCAACCCUAGCAACUUAACAAGGCCCUAAGGACUUAGUAAGACCCUGUCUCAA